UACGUAGGGUGCAAGCGUUGUCCGGAAUCAUUGGGCGUAAAGCGCGCGUAGGUGGCUUCGUAAGUCCGUUGUGAAAGUCAAAGGCUCAACCUUUGAAUGCCGAUGGAUACUGCGAAGCUAGAGUACGGAAGAGGCGAGUGGAAUUCCUGGUGUAGCGGUGGAAUGCGCAGAUAUCAGGAGGAACACCAAUAGCGAAGGCAGCGCGCUGGGACGUUACUGACACUAAGGCGCGAAAGCGUGGGGAGCGAACAGG
rnacentral:rRNA from 1 species